rnacentral:rRNA from 1 species
UACGGGGGGGGCAAGCGUUGUUCGGAAUUACUGGGCGUAAAGGCUCGUAGGCGGCCAACUAAGUCGGACGUGAAAUCCCUCGGCUCAACCGGGGAACUGCGUCCGAUACUGGAUGGCUUGAAUCCGGGAGAGGGAUGCGGAAUUCCAGGUGUAGCGGUGAAAUGCGUAGAUAUCUGGAGGAACACCGGUGGCGAAGGCGGCAUCCUGGACCGGCAUUGACGCUGAGGAGCGAAAGCCAGGGGAGCAAACGGG